rnacentral:rRNA from 1 species
GUGGCGAACGGGUGAGUAACACGGGAGCAAUCUGCCCUUGACUCUGGGAUAACUGCGGGAAACUGUAGCUAAUACCGGAUACUUUCCUCGCUGGGCAUCCAGCGGGGAAGAAAGAAUUUCGGUCAAGGAUGAGCUCGCGGCCUAUCAGCUAGUUGGUGAGGUAAUGGCUCACCAAGGCGACGACGGGUAGCCGGCCUGAGAGGGUGACCGGCCACACUGGAACUGAGACACGGUCCAGACUCCUACGGGAGGCAGCAGUGGGGAAUAUUGCACAAUGGGCGAAAGCCUGAUGCAGCAACGCCGCGUGAGGGAUGAAGGCCUUCGGGUUGUAAACCUCUUUUAGCAGGGAAGAAGCGAAAGUGACGGUACCUGCAGAAAAAGCACCGGCUAACUACGUGCCAGCAGCCGCGGUAAUACGUAGGGUGCAAGCGUUGUCCAGAAUUAUUGGGCGUAAAGAGCUCGUAGGCGGUUUGUCACGUCUGCUGUGAAAAUCCGAGGCUCAACCUCGGACUUGCAGUGGGUACGGGCAGGCUAGAGUGCGGUAGGGGAGAAGGGAAUUCCUGGUGUAGCGGUGGAAUGCGCAGAUAUCAGGAGGAACACCAAUGGCGAAGGCACUUCUCUGGGCCGUAACUGACGCUGAGGAGCGAAAGCGUGGGGAGCGAACAGGAUUAGAUACCCUGGUAGUCCAC